AUUGAAGCAUUCUUUUGUUUAAAUUGUAAAAACAUUAUUUAUUGAAAAUAAUAUUGUUUGCAUUUUGAAAGUAGAAUUUCAUUCUUUUCAUUUUUUUGAAAAUAUGUUGUGUCUUAGAUUAAGGAUGUUUGAUCCUGUUUCAAAUAACAAACCUUUUAAAAAAAAUAUUAUAAUUUGAUAGAAUAUAAAUAACGGAAAUAAUAAAAUAGAAAAAAGGAAGGGUCCUUGUCCAUGAUUUUGAGAUAUUAGCUAUUAAAAAUUAUCUCCAGACUUUGUAUACAAUUAACAUUGGCAACUUUUUCUUUCAAAAUUUAUUGAAGUUUUUGUUAGAUUUUCAAAUAUGACUUUUUAAACUAUAUGUUAUAAAAUUAUGAAAAAGAAAAAUAGUGGUAACAGGGCGAAGUUUUCUUUGGUACUACACAGAUAUAACUAGACAUUUCUGAAUAUAUAUCUGGCAAAAAUUAAAAAACAAGAGUGGCCAACAUCCUUAUGUAAAGUAAUAACAAUUGAAAAAUCAUUCCAUUUCUAUAUUGAUUCCUGAAAUUGUGUUGAUAACCGACAUUAUUUAAAAAAAAAAAAUCCUUUUUCUUGUUAGGGACAAGACAUAAGUAGACUUACUUUUGAGGACAUUUCAAAUUUUUCUUUGACUUUGUGUUUAUUUUAUACUUUUAAUUUUUGUAAAGCAUAUAUUGUUUUAUUUGAAUUAGUUUAAUUGUCAUAUUUAUUCAAUUAAAUUGAGUUUAUUAUAAAAAAUGAUUUCAAACAUUGUAUAUAAGUUUUGCAUUGCAUGCAAUUCCCAUACACCUUUGAUUUGAAAGGUAAGGCCAUGUGAACUUAAAAAUCUGUGUAUUUGUUAUUCAUUGAAAAACUAAUAACUCAUUUAUUUCACAUUUUUACACAAAGGAAUAAGACAUGAUUUUGAUGCUAUAAUGUCUACAAAAUAUGAUGGUAUUUUAACCAUGCUUUUAUAUAUGAAUUUUAUGGGUGAGCAGUGUCAGAUAGCAUCCCAGGUUGCUAAAAGGCCCUAGAGAGACCACAGACAGGUUGAUUGAAUUUUUUAAGGUUGUGUUUUUUUCACUGAAUAAUGAAGUAUAGUAUACUCUGGGCCUUCAUCAAUUAUCAGACUCUCAGAUUCACCAUACCUCAUUUUAAUUGUCAACUCUCUAUAAUAAAAUUUCUCAAAGUUAAAACUGCUCCACAAGACUCACAUCUUAAUUCAAAAGUUGCAAAGGUAUUGCUGGCACGAAAUCCCUAAUUCCACUUUAUCUGAUAGCCCUAAGGAGAAAAUUGGCUAGUGUAGAAUUUUUAUGCAUAGAAUCAAAGUAAUUUAUAUAAUUAACUAAGUACCUAUUGAAUUUAUCAAUUUUUACCUUUUUUUUGUUGAAAAAAGUACAUAGAAAAUAAUGGCAACAUGACCUGCAAGUAAAAUAAACCCUCAUCUUAAUAAACAAAUUGUCAUCUGCUGCAUACUAAGAGACUGAAAGUAUUGGAAGUGUAAUGGCUUCAAUUACUGAUGGUUUGCUAUUUAAUUCAUUUUAAGUAAUUUUACUUUUUCACCAUGGUGCUAAUGCUUGGAAUAAUUUUUACUUCCCAGUGGCGGAUCCAGAGGGGGGGUUCCGGGGGUCCGCACCCCCCCUUUAUUUUGGCCGAUCAAUGCAUUUGAAUCGGGACAUAUGUUUGCACCCCCCUGCACCCCCCCUUUGCCCUGGGCUAGCACCCCCCCUUUCGAAAAUUCCUGCAUCCGCCACUGCUUCCAAGGGUUAAGACUAGCACAAAUUUCUAACCUCUUCUAUAUAAUUUAGGUCCUGGGUGUGCACAAUAUUUUCUUUAAAAAAAAUAGUUGGCUAGUCUUUGCUUCUGGUUUUUUGCUUGCUUUCUCAUAAUAUUGUCUUAGAACAUAAACCUCACAUGUAUUAUCAGUGUCAAACAGUUAUGUUUUCAAUCUUGUAAAUCUGUUGCUCUGACUGAAUUUCUAUAUUCCAUUGAAAAUCUGAAGAUUUGAAGUGUUAAAGAUAUUUGUUUAUAAGUUGGCCAUACAAUUAGUUUGGAGAGUAUUAAAUUCCAAUAUUAUUUUUCCAAGUUCCAAGCAAGUUUAUUCCAUUGUUAUGUUGUACUUAAUUCGUAGUUACUUUCAUAUUAUUAUCACCAAUGGUUACUCUUAUUUGGUGCUGUACUAUCUUAUGUUUUUUUAAGAAAGAAUUUUUGUCUAGAACAUUACCUGUACAGCGAUGACAUUAUUGUACUUAAAGGAUAAACAACUUCAUUUGUUUCCAGGUAAGCAUUUAUUGCUUUUAUAUCAAGUCAUGGCUUUUGAUUAUAAAAUCUAUAAAAAUAUUGUACAACAGAAAGUUACCCCAUUGUCAGCAGUUUUAUAUUUGUUCAAUAUACAAAUAAAUAAAUUGUACUAAAAAUGUAAAUGUUUUGGAAAAGUUCAGCAAGAGUGAUCAAUUUGUGAUGCAUUUUAAACAUGUUAUUUAUUUUGGUUUAUUUGAAGUGAAUGGUGCUAAUAAUUAAAUAAUGGCUUACAAGUUAUGUACAGAUCAUCAUACAUGUAUGUAAAUACAAGAAUUGUAAAUAUUUACUAUUUAUUCCAAAGAGGAUUGUUCCUGUAUGAGAAACAAUAUGGAUUAUCAACCUGCAAUAAAGGGAGAUAUCUUUAAUUUGCUAUGACAGGGAGAUAACCUACUGUUUAUCAUUGUACAUUGUGAUGAAAUUUUGUGUUUUGUGAUAAAAUAUUCUGUUGUUGUUACUGAUUAAAUGUGGGCUUGGAAUUCUUUUUAUUUUGCCAAAUAUUGAUUGUGAAAUAGAUUCCAAACCAAAGUAGUUUAGCAGCUUGGAAAGAUGUGGGAUAAUUUUCAAAAAUACAGUAAAGAGUAAAAUAACAAAAAUACUGAACUGCAAGGAAA
rnacentral:lncRNA from 1 species